rnacentral:rRNA from 1 species
AACGAACGCUGGCGGCAGGCUUAACACAUGCAAGUCGAACGCCCCGCAAGGGGAGUGGCAGACGGGUGAGUAACGCGUGGGAACGUACCUUUCAGUUCGGAAUAACUAAGGGAAACUUGUGCUAAUACCGGAUACGCUCGCAAGAGGAAAGGUUUAUCGCUGAAAGAUCGGCCCGCGUUGGAUUAGCUAGAUGGUAGGGUACUGGUCUACAAAGGCGACGAUCCAUAGCUGGUCUGAGAGGAUGAUCAGCCACACUGGGACUGAGACACGGCCCAGACUCCUACGGGAGUCAGCAUUGGGGAAUAUUGGACAAUGGGCUAAAGCCUGAACCAGCCAUGCCGCCUGCGUGAUGAAGGCCCUAGGGUUGUAAAGCUCUUUCACCGAUGAAGAUAAUGACGGUAGUCGGAGAAGAAGCCCCGGCUAACUUCGUGCCAGCCGCCGCCGUAACAC